AGAGUUUGAUCAUGGCUCAGAUUGAACGCUGGCGGCAGGCCUAACACAUGCAAGUCGAGCGGUAGCACAGAGAGCUUGCUCUCGGGUGACGAGCGGCGGACGGGUGAGUAAUGUCUGGGAAACUGCCUGAUGGAGGGGGAUAACUACUGGAAACGGUAGCUAAUACCGCAUAACGUCGCAAGACCAAAGUGGGGGACCUUCGGGCCUCAUGCCAUCAGAUGUGCCCAGAUGGGAUUAGCUAGUAGGUGGGGUAACGGCUCACCUAGGCGACGAUCCCUAGCUGGUCUGAGAGGAUGACCAGCCACACUGGAACUGAGACACGGUCCAGACUCCUACGGGAGGCAGCAGUGGGGAAUAUUGCACAAUGGGCGCAAGCCUGAUGCAGCCAUGCCGCGUGUGUGAAGAAGGCCUUCGGGUUGUAAAGCACUUUCAGCGGGGAGGAAGGCGNNCGAUUGACGUUACCCGCAGAAGAAGCACCGGCUAACUCCGUGCCAGCAGCCGCGGUAAUACGGAGGGUGCAAGCGUUAAUCGGAAUUACUGGGCGUAAAGCGCACGCAGGCGGUCUGUCAAGUCGGAUGUGAAAUCCCCGGGCUCAACCUGGGAACUGCAUUCGAAACUGGCAGGCUAGAGUCUUGUAGAGGGGGGUAGAAUUCCAGGUGUAGCGGUGAAAUGCGUAGAGAUCUGGAGGAAUACCGGUGGCGAAGGCGGCCCCCUGGACAAAGACUGACGCUCAGGUGCGAAAGCGUGGGGAGCAAACAGGAUUAGAUACCCUGGUAGUCCACGCCGUAAACGAUGUCGAUUUGGAGGUUGUGCCCUUGAGGCGUGGCUUCCGGAGCUAACGCGUUAAAUCGACCGCCUGGGGAGUACGGCCGCAAGGUUAAAACUCAAAUGAAUUGACGGGGGCCCGCACAAGCGGUGGAGCAUGUGGUUUAAUUCGAUGCAACGCGAAGAACCUUACCUGGUCUUGACAUCCACAGAACUUUCCAGAGAUGGAUUGGUGCCUUCGGGAACUGUGAGACAGGUGCUGCAUGGCUGUCGUCAGCUCGUGUUGUGAAAUGUUGGGUUAAGUCCCGCAACGAGCGCAACCCUUAUCCUUUGUUGCCAGCGGUUAGGCCGGGAACUCAAAGGAGACUGCCAGUGAUAAACUGGAGGAAGGUGGGGAUGACGUCAAGUCAUCAUGGCCCUUACGACCAGGGCUACACACGUGCUACAAUGGCAUAUACAAAGAGAAGCGACCUCGCGAGAGCAAGCGGACCUCAUAAAGUAUGUCGUAGUCCGGAUUGGAGUCUGCAACUCGACUCCAUGAAGUCGGAAUCGCUAGUAAUCGUAGAUCAGAAUGCUACGGUGAAUACGUUCCCGGGCCUUGUACACACCGCCCGUCACACCAUGGGAGUGGGUUGCAAAAGAAGUAGGUAGCUUAACCUUCGGGAGGGCGCUUACCACUUUGUGAUUCAUGACUGGGGUGAAGUCGUAACAAGGUAACCGUAGGGGAACCUGCGGUUGGAUCACCU
rnacentral:rRNA from 1 species